rnacentral:rRNA from 1 species
GAUGAACGCUGACAGAAUGCUUAACACAUGCAAGUCAACUUGAAUUUGGGUUUUUACCUUAGGUUUGGGUGGCGGACGGGUGAGUAACGCGUAAAGAACUUGCCUCACAGCUAGGGACAACAUUUGGAAACGAAUGCUAAUACCUAAUAUUAUGAUAAUAGGGCAUCCUAUAAUUAUGAAAGCUAUAAGCGCUGUGAGAGAGCUUUGCGUCCCAUUAGCUAGUUGGAGAGGUAACGGCUCACCAAGGCGAGGAUGGGUAGCCGGCCUGAGAGGGUGAUCGGCCCAGACGGGAACGGGAGACGGCCCUUACGAAUCCGGGAGGAAGGAGGGGAGAAUAAUGGAGAAAGGACCAAGAGGUUGAUACAGCCAUUCUGUGGGAAAGAUUAAGUUUUUGGGAAUGUAAAGUGCUUUCAGUUGGGAAGAAGGAAAUGACGGUACCAACAGAAGAAGUGACGGCUAAAUACGUG